GACGAACGCUGGCGGCGUGCCUAAUACAUGCAAGUUGAGCGCUGAAGGUUGGUACUUGUACCAACUGGAUGAGCAGCGAACGGGUGAGUAACGCGUGGGGAAUCUGCCUUUGAGCAGGGGACAACAUUUGGAAACGAAUGCUAAUACCGCAUAAAAACUUUAAACACAAGUUUUAAGUUUGAAAGAUGCAAUUGCAUCACUCAAAGAUGAUCCCGCGUUGUAUUAGCUAGUUGGUGAGGUAAAGGCUCACCAAGGCGAUGAUACAUAGCCGACCUGAGAGGGUGAUAGGCCACAUUGGGACUGAGACACGGCCCAAACUCCUACGGGAGGCAGCAGUAGGGAAUCUUCGGCAAUGGACGAAAGUCUGACCGAGCAACGCCGCGUGAGUGAAGAAGGUUUUCGGAUCGUAAAACUCGGUUGGUAGAGAAGAACGUUGGUGAGAGUGGAAAGCUCACCAAGUGACGGUAACUACCCAGAAAGGGACGGCUAACUACGUG
rnacentral:rRNA from 1 species